rnacentral:rRNA from 1 species
UACGUAGGGGUCUAGCGUUGUCCGGAAUCAUUGGGCGUAAAGAGCUCGUAGGCGGUUUGUUGCGUCGGCUGUGAAAUCCCGAGGCUCAACCUCGGGUCUGCAGUCGAUACGAGCAAACUAGAGUGUUGCAGGGGAGACUGGAAUUCCUGGUGUAGCGGUGAAAUGCGCAGAUAUCAGGAGGAACACCGGUGGCGAAGGCGGGUCUCUGGGCAACAACUGACGCUGAGGAGCGAAAGCGUGGGGAGCGAACAGG